UAUUCUCUGCCUGGCUGCUUGAGCUGGAACAUCCAUCUUCUCUGGGUGUUCCUGGCUCUCAGGCCUUCAGACUUGGACUGGAAUCUACACUAUUGGUUCUCUGGCUCUAGGCCUUUGAACUUGACCAUUGACUUCCCUGGGUCUCCAACUUGCAGACAGAAGAUUGUGGGAAUUCUCGGCUUCAGGCCUAAAAGGGCAUACGUUACAGUGUGCUGUUUUAUCUUUGCUGUCUGCAGAUGGCUUAAGUGUUAACAGCUCAGUAGAAGAUCAGUGUGACAGCCUUUUGCACCCACACCCAAGUCCUUGUCUGAUGUCCAGGAGGAAUGAGGUUGCACGAACAAAUCGAAUGGUGGUGAAUGCAGAGGAUUUUAUUGCUGAUGAAAGCAGCUUGCAGUGGGAAGGGGAGCUGAAAGGGGGAUGGGGCAGGAAGGUGAUCUUCCCCUGGAGUCUGGCCAUCUCCAGGCAGACUCUUCUCUGAAGUCCUGCUGUCAAGCCAUCCCUCAAAAGUCAAGCUGCUGCUCUUCGAUGUCUGGCUGCUUUUUCUCUUCCCUCCUUCUCUCUGCCCUCUGCCAGUCAGGUCAGGGGCACAGGAUGUGGGGUAGAGGCAGGCCAUGGAUGGUUUUUAAAAAGGCAUCAUUUGAGUGGGAAAAACAGAGAUGUAAAGUUCUCUCUUUGGGCAGCAGUUCCAGGCUGGAAGGUGGGACCAUUGCCAGAGACCCUGUCCUUUUCUGCCUAGAAUUUCUCUGCAUCCUGUGCCUAUCAGUAUUUUUCUAGUUAUUGGGUGUAACACUAUGCAUGCACACAAUAUUUUACAUUAUUAUUUUAAUUUUAUAAAUGAGGAAUCUAAGACUAGUAGAGAUUAGAAAACUGCCUCAAAUUGUCUGGGCGCAGUAGCUCACACCUGUAAUCCCAGCACUUUGGGAGGCCAAGGCAGUUGGAUCACAAGGUCAGGAGAUCGAGACUAUCCUGGCUAACAUGGUGAAACCCCCAUCUCUACUAAAAAUACAAAAAAUUAGCCAGGUGUGGUCGCACGCACCUGUAGUCCCAGCUACUCAGGCGGCUGAGGCAAGAGAAUCACCCAGGAGGCGGAGGUUGCAGUGAGCCAAGAUCGUGCCACUGCACUCCACCCUGGGUGACAGAGCGAGAUUCCGUCUCAAAAAAAAAAAAAAAAGAAAGAAAAGAAAACUGACCCAAGUUUACAUAGCAAGUGAAUGUCUACUGUUGGUGCAGGCAGAGUUUAAAUGUUUUUGAAUUAGUUUCUAGUAUUUCAGUAUUAGACAAUUUUUUAUGCAUGCUUGAAUGAGGGGUUUCUAGUUAAAAAAAAAAAACGUAGCCCAGGAAGGGUGGCUGGCAGCUGAGCCCAUGGGGCACAGGAGCUGAGUUGCACCAGCUGUUGCUCUGGGGUCCAAAAGGCAGGCCCACCCACCACUCUGAGGCCAACUGUCAUGUGUACCUUCUCUGCAAUGCAGCACGCAUGAGGACAGUUCUGGUGGAGAGUGACCAUCUCUCACACCAGUGUUCAUCUCACACAUGUCCACAAUAAGACCAGGCUGGGCAUUCCCUCAGGAAUAGCCUCCUCUGAGUUUGGAUCACAUAUAUUCAUCAGCAAAUGUUUAAUAGCGAGGUGUGAGUUCUUCAUCAACAAAAACAUGCUCUUUCAUUCAGUAGCAUUUAAAAUAGAAGAUACUGUUCUUCAGGUAGUUAUUUUUACAAUUCAUUUUAGUAAAGAUUUCUCAGGAAUCUGAUGACACCAAUCUACAAGGUGGAACAAUUUCUUUAUAUUAUAACCUCUGGUCUUAAUAGUUAGUUAGUUUCCCCUUCCCCCACAUUGACUAUCUUUUUGGUAAUUACAGGACUCAGAAGUACUUUGUGUUGCCCUGGUUUAAUUUUUUUUUUUUGUGGGUAGCUUUGAGCUUAGUGGCCUGAGCUGAAACAGACCCACAUCUGAGCUUGGACCAGCCUUAAGGCUCAAUCCAGCACUCUCUUUCAUUUUCAUUUCAGCUAUUAGAGAUAACAAUGACCUAGGAAUUAAAUGUUUUGCUUUUUUUUUAUUAGUUUGCAUUUUUCAUGUAUUCAGUGAACUGACUCCCUGGGAGUGUGAGCCAUCUGUCAAUUCCCCUGGUAACUUUCCCCUUUCGUAACUGAGUGCAGCCCAGCUCAGCUGCAUAGGACGGUUCACUACACGGACACCCAAGAGUAAAAGGUUUCUCAUUCCCCACCCUUGUAUCUUUUCUCUUUAUCUAUAUAGUUUUAUCUAUACAACAUUUCCUUUACUUUAAACU
rnacentral:lncRNA from 1 species